rnacentral:rRNA from 1 species
CCCUUGGAUGUUCUGGGCUGCACGCGUGCUACAAUGGCGCUUGCAACAAGUCUUGCCAACCCGAUAGGGUGAGCGGAUCUUUGAAGAGGCGUCGUGAUCGGGACAGUUGAUUGCAAUUAUUCGACUCGAACGAGGAAUUCCUUGUAAUCGCGAUUCAUCAUAUCGCGCUGAAUACGUCCCUGCCCUUUGUACACACCGCCCGUCGCUCCUACCGAUUGAGCGAUCCGGUGAAUGUUUAGGACUGGCGUCAGAAGCGGUUCGCUCCUGACACUACGAAAUUUUGUAAACCUUAUCGCUUAGAGGAAGGAAAAGUCGUAACA